rnacentral:rRNA from 1 species
UUAGCGGAGGGAGAAGAAACUAACUAGGAUGUCCGUAGUAAAGGGCGAUUGAAGUGGACAAAGCCCAAGAUGGAAAUCUUCGUGUUUUGCACGAUGAAUUGUAAUCUAUAGAGGCAGUACUUAAUAAGUGGUGGUGCAGAAGUGCCCUGGAACGGGCCGCCAAAGAGGGUGACAGCCCCGUCUGUGGUGCCGCUACUUAACAAGUAUGUCUUCAAAGAGUCGGGUUGUUUUGUAUUGCAGCCCUAAGUGGGAGAUAAACUUCUUCUAAGGCUAAAUAUAUAUGGGAAACCGAUAGCGAACAAGUACUGUGAAGGAAAGAUGAAAAGCACUUUGAAAAGAGAGUUAAAAGACCUGAAACCGUUGAGGAGGAAGCGGUAGAGAUGAAUUUUUAAGUAAAACAUUGGGAAAAUAACUUAACUAUGAUAAGUGAAAGUACGUCAAAGGCAAUCAUUUGUCCAAAGGGAAGUUAUUGACUUAUGUUUUGUUUAUUAUCAAGAUGGAGUGAUAUUUCUACAGAGGUUUUUUAGGUUUGGCUUGACUUGUCAGGCAGCCUAGAAGUGCUGGUAGAGAUAUGGCUUGAGGGUGCUUAGUGCGAUCUUGAUAAAAUGGUCUUUACCGACUCGUCUUGAAACACGAGCCAAGGAGUCUAACGUACAUGCGAGUAUGCUGGUUCAAAAACCAACAUGCGUAAUGAAAGUAAAAGAUGCCAAGUGAAAACAGCAGCAUCGACCGACCAUGAUUCUUUGAAGAAAGGUUUGAGUAAGAGCAUGUCCGAUAGGACCCGAAAGAUGGUGAACUAUGCCUGCGUAGGGUGAAGCCAGGGGAAACUCUGGUGGAGGCUCGAAGCGGUACUGACGUGCAAAUCGAUCGUA